rnacentral:rRNA from 1 species
CGUGUAGGCGGGAAUACAAGUCAGAUGUGAAAUACUGCGGCUUAACUGCAGAACGGCAUCUGAAACUGUAAUUCUUGAGUACUGGAGAGGAAAGCGGAAUUCCUAGUGUAGCGGUGAAAUGCGUAGAUAUUAGGAGGAACACCGGUGGCGAAGGCGUCUUUCUGGACAGUAACUGACGCUGAGACGCGAAAGCGUGGGGAGCAAACAGGAUUAGAUACCCUGGUAGUC